AUGCUCUACAGGGUUUAUAGAAUGCUCUACAGGGUUUAUAGAAUGCUCUACAGGGUGAACAGAAUGCUCUACAGGGUGAACAGAAUGCUCUACAGGGUGUAUAGAAUGCUCUACAGGGUGUACAGAAUGCUCUACAAGGUGUACAGAAUGCUCUACAAGGUGUACAGAAUGCUCUACAGGAUUCAUAGAAUGCUCUACAAGGUGUACAGAAUGCUCUACAGGGUUUAUAGAAUGCUCUACAAGGUGUACAGAAUGCUCUACAGGGUUUAUAGAAUGCUCUACAGGAUUUCUAGAAUGCUCUACAAGGUGU
ensembl:lncRNA